GACGAACCGUGCGAACGUUGUUCGGAAUCACUGGGCUUAAAGCGCACGUAGGCGGCUUACUAAGUCAGGGGUGAAAUCCUGGAGCUCAACUCCAGAACUGCCUUUGAUACUGGUGAGCUUGAGUCCGGAAGAGGUGAGUGGAACUGCGAGUGUAGAGGUGAAAUUCGUAGAUAUUCGCAAGAACACCAGUGGCGAAGGCGGCUCACUGGUCCGGUACUGACGCUGAGGUGCGAAAGCGUGGGGAGCAAACAGG
rnacentral:rRNA from 1 species